rnacentral:rRNA from 1 species
GACGAACGCUGGCGGCGCGCUUAACACAUGCAAGUUGAACGGAAAGGCCUGCUUUCCCUUGUGGAUUGCGGGUACUCGAGUGGCGAACGGGUGAGUAACACGUGAGUGAUCUGCCCCCAACUUGGGUAUAAGCCUGGGAAACUGGGUCUAAUUCCCGAUAGGACUGCAGGGUGGUGCCUGUGGUGGAAAACGAUUUUCUAGUGGUUGGGGAUGAGCUCGCGGCCUAUCAGCUUGUUGGUGGGGUAAUGGCCUACCAAGGCGGCGACGGGUAGCCGGCCUGAGAGGGUGGACGGCCACAUUGGGACUGAGAUACGGCCCAGACUCCGACGGGAGGCAGCAGUGGGGAAUAUUGCACAAUGGGCGGAAGCCUGAUGCAGCGACGCCGCGUGGGGGAUGACGGCCUUCGGGUUGUAAACUCCUUUCGACCGCGAGGAAGCCACCUGGUUGGAAGGGUGGUGACGGUAGUGGUAGAAGAAGCACCGGCUAACUACGU